rnacentral:rRNA from 1 species
UACGAAGGGGGCUAGCGUUGUUCGGAAUUACUGGGCGUAAAGAGCUCGUAGGUGGUUUGUCGCGUUGUUCGUGAAAACUCACAGCUCAACUGUGGGCGUGCGGGCGAUACGGGCAGACCGGAGUACUGCAGGGGAGACUGGAAUUCCUGGUGUAGCGGUGGAAUGCGCAGAUAUCAGGAGGAACACCGGUGGCGAAGGCGGGUCUCUGGGCAGUAACUGACGCUGAGGAGCGAAAGCGUGGGGAGCGAACAGG